rnacentral:rRNA from 1 species
CUACGGGCGGCAGCAGUGGGGAAUGUUGCACAAUGGAGGAAACUCUGAUGCAGCAACGCCGCGUGGAGGAUGACACUUUUCGGAGCGUAAACUCCUUUUAUAUAGGAAGAAGAUGACGGUACUAUAUGAAUAAGCGCCGGCUAACUCCGUGCCAGCAGCCGCGGUAAUACGGAGGGCGCAAGCGUUACUCGGAAUCACUGGGCGUAAAGAGCGUGUAGGCGGAUUAAAAAGUCAGAAGUGAAAUCCUAUAGCUUAACUAUAGAACUGCUUCUGAAACUCUUAAUCUAGAAUAUGGGAGAGGUAGAUGGAAUUUCUGGUGUGGGGGUAAAAUCCGUAGAGAUCAGAAGGAAUACCGAUUGCGAAGGCGAUCUACUAGAACAUUAUUGACGCUGAGACGCGAAAGCGUGGGGAGCAAACAGGAUUAGAUACCCCUGUAGUC